rnacentral:lncRNA from 1 species
CCUCCCCCACAAGAAUGUGUCACAUUCUCGCUACCUUCAUUAACACACAAAUGGUCAGAAAGACCCUUCCUGUCUGCUGACAUUCACACCUUUUCAUAUAUAGGUAGCCCAGCAUGCACACAACCAGACCACAGACACACCCAUUAUGCUAAGUUGUGUAUUCUAUUGACUAUAACUGAAAUGUAAUUUGUAUACUGAGUGUGUUGUGUUGAAGAAAGGAUGCCGUAGAGACACCAACCGCUACGACCGGUGAGAGAACGGAGCAAGGAGAAUUGAGGAGACAUCGCGGCCUGUGGAGUCAAAGGCCAACCAGAAGACAAACUACACUAUGGACCAUACCUCCUAAUAUCUCCUUCUCUCUCUCCAUCGUAGCGUGUUGUGUGUGCUCGAGGUCUGGUACAUAGAAUAAACCGACAUCACUAUCAGACGGCAUUUCAUCGAGUUCUUUGCUAGAAUCACGCAACCGCAACUAACGUCAGAGCUAACAUAGAGGUCUGUUAUAUAAUAUAGCAGUGGUGUUUUCACGGGAAAUCUGUUUAGCUUUCCACCCAUACCAACGAUAUUCUUCAGUUGGUGUUGAUCCACCCAGUUUCACAAAAAAUACAAGAAUUAACGACCAGGAGAGACGCGCAUCUGAAGCCUGCUGCCUCAAUCCAAACGAACAACAGUCCAAGGAGCAGCAUGAGGGGAACUGAAACGCAGGAACCAUUGACCCGCUGCAUUGACCAAGCCACCACCGCUGUCCAGAUUCACCUCACCCGUUGGACAGCAGUGACGACACAACAUUCAAAGACUUGACCAACAGAAACUGAUGAACCAGAAAUGCAUGGUCGCCAUUCACAGCUCGCGGAAGGCGGGGGUCGCUGUGCAAAAAGGGCCGUGAAAUAAUUUUACCCAAGCAAAUAAUGGGAUUUUCGAUUUCACCUGUGAAGAUAAAGGACAUGGCAUAUUGGUUUCAAGAGACACCAGAUCUUGAAGAUUGAUACACUAUAGGAACAUGUGUUCUGUUCUAAACCUUUUUACCACUACACUAUGGGAACACAUGGUGUUUGUUGAAAUUUUGUAACAAUGUUGGAUUGUUUGAUCACUAUGUCUGAUUAUGUCCAUUAUGGUUUUGUUAGGUUUUAUUGUGAUCAUGAU